UACAGAGGGUGCGAGCGUUGUUCGGAAUUAUUGGGCGUAAAGGGCGCGUAGGCGGUUCGGUAAGUCACCUGUGAAAUCUCCUGGCUCAACUGGGAGCUUGCAGGCGAAACUGCCGUGCCGGAGUGUGGGAGAGGUGCGUGGAAUUCCCGGUGUAGCGGUGAAAUGCGUAGAUAUCGGGAAGAACACCCGUGGCGAAGGCGGCUCUCUGGGACGGUACUGACGCUGAGACGCGAAAGCGUGGGGAGCGAACAGG
rnacentral:rRNA from 1 species